GACAGAGGGCGCAAACGUUGUUCGGAUUUACUGGGCGUAAAGCGCGUGUAGGCGGCUUCGUAAGUUGGAUGUGAAAUCCCACGGCUCAACCGUGGACGUGCAUCCAAAACUACGUCGCUGGAGUCUCGGAGAGGAAGGUGGAAUGCUUGGUGUAGAGGUGAAAUUCGUAGAUAUCAAGCAGAACACCUGCGGCGAAGGCGGCCUUCUGGACGAUGACUGACGCUGAGACGCGAAAGCGUGGGGAGCAAACAGG
rnacentral:rRNA from 1 species